CUAGGUGCUGCAUAAAGUUUUCUGCUUAGCCCUCUCCAGCCACACAUUCUUUUUCAGCAUUCCAAGUGUCUCCAAGAGCUUUCCAUAAGAAUCGGAGGGUGAACUGUUUGAUUCUUUAAAUCUAGCUAGUUUGCAAUUGGAGGAUUUAAUAGCUGCCACAGAUUGUCUUUUUGAGAAUAAAAAUCCUGCCUCAGACAAAGAGUACCCAGAAACCCCAGCAUACUCGACGCUCCCAAAGAGUGGUUAUUUUUCCGAAGUUUCCAGUCAGCAUCUAGAAUCGGUGCAAAGGCCCUCGGACAGUCUACUAUUGAACAUCUCAUUCACGCAGCCCGAACUUGCCUCUCCAGGCUUACUGACUCAGAUACUCUGGGGAUUCACCGCCGUUUGUAUCAUCACCUGGACUUCUCACCCAUAUAAUCGGUGAACCUGAAAGAUUUGAUUCCGCUGCUAAGGCUGCUGAGAUGAAGGCCGAAAUCGAAUGAUUGCUGUUGGUUGUUCAAAACUCUUAAUCCUUUCUCCAGAUAUUUGUGAAAAAGCUAUUUUAUUGUUUGCAAUUUUAGAAAACUUGUUCCCCAAAUAAUGUCAAAGAAGGAAAAGGCGUGCAAGUGAGGACUUGGACGGGACGCUGGGAGCGGUUCUCAAAAUGCUGGUUUAUUACAAAAUAUGGCGAAUGAACUCCGCUAUUCUAUUCGGACCCCAAAAAUGCCUACUCCACCACCCCAAUAUUUUAAUGAAUCGGAAUAUAUUAUUUGGCAAAAUCAAAACAUGAUCCAAAUGAAUAAUAUAAUAGCGACCAUGAGAGUUCCUUCACCUGUUACCACUCCCAUCGACUUUGACCAGCUUGACAGCCUUUUAGAAGCCCUACGUCCAGUAGCCACCCCCGAUGAAAUGCAAACAUUAAAUAACUUGUUAGAAAGGGUUCAGCGGUCUUUGAACGAAAAUGUGAAUGCUCAAACGAGUCAUGGUUUAACAAACACAUUGGGUUCUGUAAAUGCUGCCCCCUCUCACAGUAUGGCCACAUCAGUCUCGGUUACCCCCUUGGCUACAUCUGUACCUUCGGCUCAAGUCUCCUCGGUCUCUGUUACUUCAGCUAACCCUUCUGGGCCCUCUGCUUCAGCACCAGUUGCUAACUCCUCUUCUUCAGUCUUGCCCUCUGUUUCUAUCUCCUCUGUCUCUUUCAUUUCAGCUAUCCCUUCUGCUGCCAAGCCGUUUGCUUCAGUCCUUCUAGCUCCCACUUCUGCUCCCUCUACUUCAGUAGGCCCCUGUGCCCCUCUGUCCCAGUCACUGUCUCCUCUGUUCCAGUCCCUGUAGCUAACACUUCUGUCUUGGCAAUCUCUGCUCCAGUCACGGUCUCCUCUGUUUCUGUCCCUGUAGCUCCCACUUCUGCUCCCUCUACUUUAGUGUGCCCCCUAUGUUCCAGUCCCUGUAGCUCCCACUUCUGCUCCCUCUACUUCAGUAUGCCACUGUGCCCACUUUGUCCCAGUCACUGUCUCCUCUGUCCCAGUCCCUGUAAAACUCUUCCUUUCAAAGCAGGGGUUAUUAAAGUAAAAAGGGUUUCACUAUUGUUUAUUGAUGAUUGAUGUCUAGAAUUAGAAUGACAACGACUAGAGAAUAAAUGGAGAUCUUAAAAAGUUGCAGUUUUACCAGUCUGCAUGAACUGAAAGAGUCAAAGAGUGUAAGAGACCUUACUACAGGAUGUGUUAUAUAUCAGUAUAAGUGUGCAUUUCAGUUCAGCUAUUGAUGUCUGAUUGUGGGUUGACACCUAGUGAUAUGAUUAGUAAUGCCUUGCACAUUUUGUUAGUUGCUGUUCAAUAAAGACAAAAAAGAAAAGGGCACACGCUGUCUGCUUGUCCAUUCUUAUCAAAGGAAAAAAUGGCAACGAUAGUGUACUCUAUUACUAAUACAUGACAGUCUGAUAUUACUCAAGGUAACUGAUUAACAUUUUUAUGUCAACUAAAAUUUAUUUCAAAAAGAUUUCUGUGCUUAGAAAUAAUAAAUCUGAACUGUACAUUCCAUUUCUG